UCCUACGGGAGGCAGCAGUGGGGAAUAUUGCACAAUGGGCGCAAGCCUGAUGCAGCCAUGCCGCGUGUAUGAAGAAGGCCUUCGGGUUGUAAAGUACUUUCAGCGGGGAGGAAGGUGUUGUGGUUAACAACCGCAGCAAUUGACGUUACCCGCAGAAGAAGCACCGGCUAACUCCGUGCCAGCAGCCGCGGUAAUACGGAGGGUGCAAGCGUUAAUCGGAAUUACUGGGCGUAAAGCGCACGCAGGCGGUUUGUUAAGUCAGAUGUGAAAUCCCCGGGCUCAACCUGGGAACUGCAUUUGAAACUGGCAGGCUUGAGUCUCGUAGAGGGGGGUAGAAUUCCAGGUGUAGCGGUGAAAUGCGUAGAGAUCUGGAGGAAUACCGGUGGCGAAGGCGGCCCCCUGGACGAAGACUGACGCUCAGGUGCGAAAGCGUGGGGAGCAAACAGGAUUAGAU
rnacentral:rRNA from 1 species